rnacentral:rRNA from 1 species
UGGGGAAUAUUGCACAAUGGGCGCAAGCCUGAUGCAGCGACGCCGCGUGGGGGAUGACGGCCUUCGGGUUGUAAACUCCUUUCGCCAGGGACGAAGCGUUUUGUGACGGUACCUGGAGAAGAAGCACUGGCUAACUACGUGCCAGCAGCCGCGGUAAUACGUAGGGUGCAAGCGUUGUCCGGAAUUACUGGGCGUAAAGAGCUCGUAGGUGGUUUGUCACGUCGUCUGUGAAAUUCCACAGCUUAACUGUGGGCGUGCAGGCGAUACGGGCUGACUUGAGUACUGUAGGGGUAACUGGAAUUCCUGGUGUAGCGGUGAAAUGCGCAGAUAUCAGGAGGAACACCGAUGGCGAAGGCAGGUUACUGGGCAGUUACUGACGCUGAGGAGCGAAAGCAUGGGUAGCAAACAGGAUUAGAUACCCUGGUAGUCCAUGCCGUAAACGGUGGGCGCUAGGUGUAGGGGCCUUUUGGGGUUUCUGUGCCGUAGCUAACGCAUUAAGCGCCCCGCCUGGGGAGUACGGCCGCAAGGCUA